UGGCUCAGCAGAGUGAAGGCUGCUGCCUGCAGGAUGCCAAAGCAGCGGGCUGUGCCAGGAGCGAGGAAGGAGAGCGAGUGUGGAAGAGUCAGUGUGGCAGAGGGCACCACGAAGGACGGGGCAGGAGGGGCAGGGGCCGAGAGCAGGGAGCAAGGAGAGGCAGCUUUCCAGCAAAGCAAGGCCAGGGCAAGGGUCCAAUGGGGCCAGAGAGGCCCCUUCUCCUCUGCCCCAGCGGCCCCUGCAGCCCGGAGGCCUCGGGGCUCCCGGCGCAGCCCCUGGCUUGGCACUCAAGGUCUCCCCACAGGUGCCGUGGUCCCUGCCCGCCCCUCACUCUUCCUUCCCGGCAGCACUGAGAGCCCCUGCCCUCAGCUGUUAUUGCUUCUGCACUGGCUGUUCCCCUGCCUGGGGUGUCCCUCCCUCCGCACUCCCAUCAGACGAGUCCUGGCCACUCUGGGCCAGUGCUGUCACCAGGGCCCCGCGGACGUGCAGACGCUGUGCAGACCUCAGCACGAAAGCCUGGCUCAGCAGCCGGAGGCGAACGGUGGCCUUCAGUUUGGAGAGGAAGGUAUUUGGGUGUUUUCUGCCACUCACAGCUGCUCUAACCUACGAAGGGCUCAUGUCUCAGCUGGAUAGGACCCCAGGGAGCACCCUCUAUAAAUAUGACCCCUGGCACCUAUCACAUGUGCUGGGAGGGUUUACCGCCUGGGUCUGCCACUGGGUUAGCCGUGAGCCUCAGUUUCCUUCCUUCCCAGGUGGCCGAGAGGUUGAAGUGAGUGUGCAAAGAGCUCGGAAGAGUGGGCAGCGCUCAGCAGCGCUGAGUGUUGGCUGCUACCUGCCUGUCUCCCUCGCGGGGGGCAGCCUCCCUAGAUAGGUUGGGGACUGUGUGCUGUCUGCCUGGCUCAGGAGCAGCUCAGGGUGGCUGGUGACUGCAGGCAUGCCCACUGAUCACUCAAUGACAGCAACUACUUUGGGGUCUGGGGAGGGGGCAUCUAGCCAAACCUGACGUCAGCCUGCUAAUAACCUUUGUCCAACCCACACAAGGCCCUGUGGAAGGGGUGUGUCCAUCCCAGGCUGGGGCCAGCCAUAUUGCGCCCGAUGGUAUUUUCCAAAGACGGCCACACCCUCCGACACUGAUAACACCGCUGAGAGACGGGGUCUCGUCAUUCCGCUCGAAGAUGGUGGCCCGGGUGACAGCAGAAGCGAUGCUUCGUGACAUCUGACUCUGGGGUCAGAAGCCUCUUUCCUCUGUUCUUUCCCGAGAUGCCUGCCCUCGGGCCCAGUGACCGUGCGGGAAGCCCAGGCUGACCCCCAUGUAGGAGGGACCAGCACCCACUGCCAGACACGAGUGAGUCAGGUUCCAGAAGAAUCUGGCCAGCUGAGACCCGAUACCACAGGCAGGGGCAACCCAUGCCACGUGCGUCCCGAUGCCUGGCCGGCACUGCCAGCAGAGAUGACGUGGUUUUACACGGGGCUGUUUGGGAUAGUUCUCUACACGCCACGUAAGUAGAACCUUUACAUAAAACCACUUCCGGCAUAUGCCACGCUCUCUACGCCACACAUUCGGGUCCCUCUGACUCUCAGAGAGAGCCCGCUGAGGGGCCGCCUUCUCCUUGGCGGCCGCCUCUGCCCUGUGGCCAUGCUCACUUCCCACACGGUGAGCUCUCUGCACCCGCCCGAUCCUUCCAGUACAGCGGCAGCGUGAAGUGGCAGGAACGCCGGGAACGCCCAGCCAGACCUCCUGGGUGUGGGCGAGGCUCUGCCACGGAGAGCUGUGUGGCCUCGGGCAGUGUCCCUGGACCUCCGUGCUGCCAGGACCCCUCCUCUUGGGGCUGCUGGGAGGCCGGAGGGGAUGAGCACAGCCCCCGCCUUGGAUGAGCCGAGCUCACCCUGAGCAGAGUCCACAGCAUGUGGCCUGCUGUUUCUCCCAGACUGUCAAGUCCCUGCAGGUAGAAACGGAGCCCACCCCCACCAACUGCCCGAGGCCCGCGCUUACACACGGUAAACACGGAAGAGAUGGAUGAUGGGCGUGGGCCAGGGAUCCGGGAGGCUCAGAGCUGCAGGGCAGCCAGCCUCGCCCACACUCGGUUCUGUGCCAGGUUCGCCCUCUCACGGGAUGCUGAGCAGCCUUCCCCAAGGUGAUCGGACUUCAGGCCCGAAAGACAAAACCCUCCAGGGAACCCCCAGGGGCUGAGGUUCACCAGCCCCUCCACACGGAACCACUCCCACAGGCCUCCUGCCUUCCACGGAGAGGAGCUGGCGCCUGAGCCCACACCCUCCCCUGCACCACGUACGCCAGCGUGCAGCCGAGCUCUCUCCGCGGGUCAGUACCGUCCGACCUCACCCACCUCUGGGCUCAAGAUCCUCCACCUUUUACCAGAGCUCUGGCCGGCGAGGCUGCGUCACACCAAGUUGGGGACGAUUCCAUUAAAGAAUCAUGAGUGAGUCGGUCAUGCAUUCUCAGAGAAGGGAGGCAAGACAAUCUCUCCCAGAUGGUCCAACCAGCCCACGCCGGACCAUCUGCGCAAGCCAAUCCCUUCCCAGAAAGUUACAGAGCCGCCCAGCUCCGGCAAGGGUGUGUAAACGGACACGUCAACCCACCCAGCAACAAACA